AUUGAACGCUGGCGGCAGGCCUAACACAUGCAAGUCGAACGAGUGGCGGACGGGUGAGUAAUGUCUGGGAAACUGCCUGAUGGAGGGGGAUAACUACUGGAAACGGUAGCUAAUACCGCAUACCAUCAGAUGUGCCCAGAUGGGAUUAGCUAGUUGGUGGGGUAACGGCUCACCAAGGCGACGAUCCCUAGCUGGUCUGAGAGGAUGACCAGCCACACUGGAACCGAGAACAGGGCCCGACCCCUAAGGGAGGCAGGCGGUGGGAAUAUUUGACAAUGGGCGCAAAGCCGAUUCAGCCAGCCCGGUUGUAGAAAGAGGGCCUUCGGUUUGUAAAGUCUUUCCGCCGGGAGGCGUUACCCGCAGAAGAAGCACCGGCUAACUCCGUGCCAGCAGCCGCGGUAAUUC
rnacentral:rRNA from 1 species